rnacentral:rRNA from 1 species
CGGGGUGCAGCAGGCGCGAAAACUUUACAAUGCGGGAAACCGUGAUAAGGGGACACCGAGUGCCAGCAUCAUAUGCUGGCUGUCCAGGUGUGUAAACUACACCUGUUAGCAAGGGCCGGGCAAGACCGGUGCCAGCCGCCGCGGUAACACCGGCGGCCCGAGUGGUGAUCGUGAUUAUUGGGUCUAAAGGGUCCGUAGCCGGUUUGGUCAGUCCUCCGGGAAAUCUGACGGCUCAACCGUUAGGCUUUCGGGGGAUACUGCCAGGCUUGGAACCGGGAGAGGUAAGAGGUACUACAGGGGUAGGAGUGAAAUCUUGUAAUCCCUGUGGGACCACCUGUGGCGAAGGCGUCUUACCAGAACGGGUUCGACGGUGAGGGACGAAAGCUGGGGGCACGAACCGGAUUAGAUACCCGGGUAGUCCCAGCCGUAAACGAUGCUCGCUAGGUGUCAGGCAUGGCGCGACCGUGUCUGGUGCCGCAGGGAAGCCGUGAAGCGAGCCACCUGGGAAGUACGGCCGCAAGGCUGAAACUUAAAGGAAUUGGCGGGGGAGCAC